ACUUAAGCAUAUCAAUAAGCGGAGGA
rnacentral:ncRNA from 2 species